UAUGGAAUCUUCGGCAAUGGACGAAAGUCUGACCGAGCAACGCCGCGUGAGUGAAGAAGGUUUUCGGAUCGUAAAACUCUGUUGUUAGAGAAGAACAAGGACGUUAGUAACUGAACGUCCCCUGACGGUAUCUAACCAGAAAGCCACGGCUAACUACGUGCCAGCAGCCGCGGUAAUACGUAGGUGGCAAGCGUUGUCCGGAUUUAUUGGGCGUAAAGCGAGCGCAGGCGGUUACUUAAGUCUGAUGUGAAAGCCCCCGGCUCAACCGGGGAGGGUCAUUGGAAACUGGGAGGCAAUGGUGCAGAAGAGGGGAGAGGAAUUCCAUGUGUAGCGGUAAAAUGCGUAGUUAUAUGGAGCAACACCAGUGGCGAAGGCGACUCACUGGUCUGUAACUGACGCUGAGGCUCGAAAGCGUGGGGAGCAAACAGG
rnacentral:rRNA from 1 species